GGCAAGCACAUGCAGGGCAGACAACUUUCCCGCUGGUGACAGAUUACAAAUGUGCAGAACAAGAUUGAAAGCCAGCUUCCCCAGGCUGAAGGAGCAGAGUGGGAAGGAGGGGCUGGGAUGGAGUGAAGGAAAAAUAAUGAUAACAAGCGGAAGAGGAAGUGCUGUGUGGUACAUCCAGCAUUCAGGUCUCUGUGGCCUGUGGAGAGGAUGCACCGCAGACUGCCCUGUGCCGCCUGGGUGUGUGUGGGAGAGUUCGGCCAAGCUGCUCCAGGCUGAGAUGUAUGAAUCUUGGAGCCUACUACGUCACCCUCCAGACAAUCCACCAGGCCCAAAGCUGCAUAGUAUCCUCUGCCGAGAAAGCCACCGUGGAAACAGACAUUGAGGAAGCUGUAUCUUCUGGGUACAACCAGCUUUUGUUCUGGCUUGGCUGUGAAGCACUCAGUCUAGGAGCUGGUCUGACGUGAAGAUGUUCUGUUGACUUUUAAGUACAGAAGUGCCCAGAGCUCCCAUAAAGACAUGGACAAAAGGGACACCUUGAGAGAUUUAUGUCCUAAUCAAGCUGAGCAUUAAAGAACAGUAGAAACUAGAAA